GUUCUCCCUGUGGCGGCAGGGCGGUGUGAGCGGUCCCGCAGGGCCCCCGGGCCACGUGUCCACCCCUGGAACUCGCCCAGCCAGCGGCUGGCUCCUUCCUCUUUUACUGCCUGCGCCUUGCACACUCGCUCCACCGACUUGGAUUUGUUUUGCUACAUUCUACUUUUCUGGGAAUUUGCCGAUUUCCACCCGUUUUUCAAUCUCAUUACUACUGCUUUAACGACGAGGACGUGGCGAUGUCCUCUUUUCACAUCUGUGAUGUGAGUUAAAUGUGCCUUCCCCCCCCAUUCUGAACAGUCAUGGUGGAGGUUCGUGCACUCUCUUCAUUGGUUGAAGAUGAAACUUUGUUGAUCCUCUUUUAGGUUUUUCUACCUUACUGAGUUUACUUUUAUAUUCUCCCACUUUGUUGCGGUUUAUUUUGCUGUUCUUUUUCCAGCUUCAUGAGAUGGUUGCUGAGCUCAUGAUUUUGCAGCUUUUCUUUUCUAAUAUGUAAGUUUUAGGUUAGGCAUUGCCCUCCAAGUACUGCAUUAGCUGAAUCUCACAGCUUUUAUAUGUAUUACUUUAAUUAUCAUGCACUUUAUUUAUUUAAGAGAGAGAGUGCCAGCAAGGGGUGGCGGAUGGACAGGCAGACUCCACACUGAGCACGGAGGCGGAUGGGGGGCUUGAUCUCAAGUGAGAUCAUGAGGCAAACUGAAAUCAAGAGGCAGAUGCUUAAGGGACUGAGCCAUCCAGGCGCCCCUUUAUGCAGUUAUAUUUUCUGAUGUCCACUCUAUCUUCUUUGAUCUGUGGAUUAGUUGGAAGUAUAUUUCUUGAAUUUAUAAACAUUUGGGGAUUCUUUCUAGUUAUCUUUAUUUCUAGCAUAAUUGCUUUGGAAACACAGUAUACUGGUAUAAUCUCAGUUCUUUGAAAUUUGCUGAAAGACCCAGUAUAUGGUCAGUUUUUGCAGAUGUUCCAUGUAUACCUGAAGAGAAAGUGUUUACUGCAGUUGUUCAGUACAGUGUUCUAUAAUUGGUAGAUUCUAUGGUUCAAACUUUUUUUCCCCUGUUUCUAGCCAUUACUAAGAGCUUUGUUAAAAUUUCCUAUAUUGGUUGUAAAUUAAUCCAUUUCUCCUUGUAUUUCUACCAGCUUUUGUGGUAAAUAUUUUGAGGCUGUGUUUUUUAGGUACAUGAUAGGUUCAAAUUUAAAACCCAUCUUAGUGAAUUGAACCUUUAUCAUUAUGUCCCCCUUACCUCCCAUCUUACCUUUUGUUUUAAAGUCUGUUUUGCAACAUUAAUAUAGCUACAGCAGCUUUUGUUUGUUAUUUCUCUGGACAUAUCUUUUUCCAUCCUGUUAUUCCAAUCUUUUUUUCUUACUUAGAUGUAGCUCUUGUAAAACACAUAUAGUUGGAUUUUUAAAACUUAUCUGAAAUCUUAUACCUGUAAUGGGAGUAAUUAAUGUAAUUACUGAUAUGUUGGAUUUAAAUCUAUCUUGUUUUUUUCUUUGUGUUCUCCUUUUUUGGACCUCAGGUGCACAACUUUGGAUUAGUCAUGAUCCUUGCUACACGACACCCUCUUUUUAUUGGUCCUUGCAUGGCCUGCUUGACCACCAGAAGAACCUCUAAACAAAAGGUAGAAUCCUGAAAUGUACAUCUAACCAUAUGGAAAACUCACCAAUCCAUCCCCUUCUCAGGAAUUUCUCGAGUAUGUAACUAGAAGUGGAACCGCUGGGCUAUAGAGUCUGAUAUUCUUCUUUAGGAGAUUUUAUUUAUUUGACAGAGACAUAGCGUGAGAAGGAACACAAGCAGGCGGAGCGGAAGAGCGAGAAGCAGGCUUCCCGCUGAGCAGGGAGCCUGAUGCGGGGCUCGAUCCCAGGACUCUGGGAUCAUGACCUGAGCCGAAGGCAGACGCUUAACGACUGAGCCACCCAGGCGCCCCUGUCAAUCUGAUUCUUUAUCCUUCAUUGUAAUCUGCUUGUAGUCCUCUCUUGAAGCUACUAGAAUUUUCUCUUUGGCAUUUUUAAUUUUCACUAUAGUGUGGUCUUGGUGAAAGCUUUUCUUUAUCUCUUGUCUCUGGAACUCCACAGGCCCUUCAACUCAAGGUCUCCCAUCUCUGUUUUUAUUCUGGGAAAUUUAUCUCCAUUAUUUAACUAUUUCUCUUUCCUUUCCAUUUUUAUUUCUUUCUUUCCCUUCCAGGAUUCCAGUUAAACAUUAUUUUAGUGGUUGUUCUAGGAAUUAUGCAGACUUCACAUAGCCAAAAGUUAUCGCACAUCUUGACCUUCCUGAGUUGCACAAAGGCCUUUGAGAAGUUUCCUUCCAUUUAUCCCUCUUCUGACUUAUAUGAUCACACAGUUGUAUUUUGUUUAGAUUCUAAAACCCGCAAGACAUUUCUAUUCUUAUUUACUGUUCACUUAGGUUUUGUUCUUCAUUCAUUCACACAUCUCAGAUCUUCCAUCUGGGAUCACUUUCCUUCUGCAGGAGGUAUAUCCUUUAAUGUGGGUCUGCUGGUGGCAAAAUGAGUUUUUAUUAGUCUGAAAAUAAAAUAUUUCAACACUCUGUAAACAUGUUCUUGCUGGGUGUAUAAUCAUCGGCUGGCAGUGAGUCUUUCUGCACAUGGAAGAUCUCAUUUGACCGUCUUCAAGCUUCCAUCAUUGCUGAGGAAGAGACCGCUGUCAGUCUGCUAUUCCUCAGAAAGUCAUACAGGUCUUUUUCACAACUCUUUGAUUUAGUUUCAACAGUUCCACUGUAUAGAUUUGGUGUGGAAGAUUCUUUUCUGUUUGCUCUUCAGAUAUGGUCUCUUUCUUUCUAGACUCUGACUAGAAGUACCCUAGACCCUGCUCUCAAACCUGACGUGCGCAUGGCUGCCCUCGGGAUCUUCCUGAGAUUCUCACUCUUAUGGGCUCCCAGGGCUGCUGGUGAUGCUGCUCCAGGGACUCCCUCUGGGUCACUAGGUGGUAAGCUUUCUCUCUGUUAGCUUUUUGUCUUUGCCAGGUUUUGUCUCUCUAUUUGAAGUGUUUCUUCUCUUCUGUUGAUGGAUUGUAUUAAACCUUCCCCAUUGGAGUUCUCAAGUUCAGUUACUUAAUUUUUCCUUUGUAGAAUUUGUUUUGCUCUCUUUGGAACCUGCUGUGUCACUUUUUAUAGUUUUCUGUUUCUUGCACUGAUUUUCACAUUUGGUUUUCAUUCCUUGGACUGUGGGGACUCUGUCCUUAUCAGCCUGUUUAAAGUCUGCAUAGAACUUGCUACCACCGGAUAAGGUCACGCUUAUUUACGGCCGAGUGUCUGGCUCCCACACUGGGAUGUCAGCUGCAGAACACCGUCUCUGCCUGCGUGUGGACAGAACCGUCCCGACCCCAGUGCCUGCUGCUCGCUUCUUGCCUGGCCGGCAGGCUCCCUGGCCUGUCCUCUGCCCCUUGCCUCUGUUUCCCGCUCCCUGCCUGCUCUUUACCCGCCCUGCAGCCCCACUCACGGCAGCGGGUACUUCUUCCACAACAG